rnacentral:lncRNA from 1 species
AGAUACUCUUGUGAAGGGACCUUGAAAGCGCGUGCCUGGGUCUGGCCGGUGACGAUUCUCCCAUUUUUCCCGCAGCUUCCUUGCAUCAUCGGUCCUGAAGGAACGGACGACCUCCCUGUGUGCUGGGCAGGGCGUCGUGGUUCGGCAGAGCAGGCCACGGAUGGAUGGAUAGAUGGAUGGAUGGAUGGAUGGAUGGGUGGGUGGCAGCACUCCAUCCUCUCCUGCAGGUCAGAGCACCUGCUCACCCCUCUCCUUUCUGCCUUGUGAGGUGGGGUGCUGAGCUCUGGCCCAAGGUCCAACUGCCCGGCUGGCGUGUGGAUCUCACAGGCGUCCCCUCCAGCUCCUUCUGCCUCUGGCUGGGGGUCUGGGCUCUUGACUUCUCAGGCGCUUGAGGGUUGCAGCCAAAGGGGAGUACCAGCUGCAGCCUCUUGCCCUCUGCAUCCCCCCCGGAGAGAAACACCCGCUCCAGUGGCGAGCCAGACGUCAAGAUUCUUGCUUCAAGAACCUUCCCCACAAGUGCGCCUCGCUUGGGAUUUCAAAACAUUUACCUUCUAUCCCGCGUCUCUGUCAAGAGCUUGGACUCUGUGGCCCCAUGGCCUGGGGCAGUUACCUAACCUCCCAAGGCCUCAGUUUCCUCAUCUGCAAAACAGCGAUGGCGGUGGAGGUAGGCGUGAGAAGUAUCUUCCUCAUCCAGGAGUUUUCGAGAGAGCGCAGAUUUGGCUGCUUCACCUGGCUUGAAUCCAUCUUCUAAUUUGGGGCCGGCCGUUCAUCGGUAGCCGAGAACAAGUGACUCUGAAGGCCACUGGGAGGGACCGUGUGUCGAAUGAUGGACUCAUCAUCCGGCGUUUAUGGAGCCGACACCUGGGUUUGGCACAUGGCCGCAGGGGAGUGUCCGACAGGCGUCCAGCCUCGGGGGCAGACCAGCGCAGACACCUGUAAAACCCCGUGGUUUCACUGGCAGACGGAUGGAUGCACGAAGUGUGGUCUAUCCACACAGAGAACUAGGAUUCGGGUUAAAAAGGAAGGAAGCGCCAAGCCAGGCUACACGGUGGGUGACGCUUAAGGACUUUAUGCUCGUUGAAAUAAGCCGGUCACAGAACAGACACUGCAGGUGCCACUUAACCAAGGAAAGCAGCCGAAUUCACAGAGACACAAAAGAAUGGGGGUCGCUGGGAGGAGGGGGGUGGGCAGUUCCUGCUCCUUGGUGUCCUGGACUGAUGAGUUGUGUCCCCUCCAGAUUCUUAUGCAGAAGCCCAACCCCCAGUGGGACUGUAAUUGGAGAUGGGCCUCAGGGAGGGGACCCAGUGAACCCAGACGGUGAGGGUGGGGCCCUCAGAGGACCCUCCCCCUCCCUUUCUCUCUCUCUCCCCCUCCCCCUUCCCUCCCUCUCUCUCUCCCCCCCUUCUUCCUCCCUCCCCCCUUCUCCCUCCCUCUCUUCUCUCCCCCCUCUCCCUCUCUCCUCCCUCCCUCUCUUUCUCCCUCUCUCUCUCCCUCCCCUCUUCUCCCUCCCCCUCCCCACGCAGGAGCAGAGAAAAGCCCACUCCAGGACUGGGGCGGGAAGGGAGCCACGUCUUCUACAAGCCAGAAAAGAGUCCCCAGCAGACACCUUCCCGACAGCACUUUGAUCUUGGCCUUCCAGCCCUGGAACUGUGAGAAGGUCACUGCCUUGGUUUAAGCCUCCCUGUCUGUGCCAUUUGUCACAGCGGCCAGAAGACCAAGGCAGCGGGGUGGAAUUUCCAUCCAAGAUGGUGGGAAGGUGAGAACGUUCUGGAGAGGAAGGCGGUGCUGGCUGCACAGCAGUGGGAACUACUUACCGCCACCUCGCUGUGCCCCAGAGUGUUCAGAUGGCACGUUUUGUGUGGGUGUAUUUUGCCACAAUAAAGAAGCCACA